GAUGAACGCUGGCGGCGUGCCUAAUACAUGCAAGUCGAGCGAACGGACGAGAAGCUUGCUUCUCUGAUGUUAGCGGCGGACGGGUGAGUAACACGUGGAUAACCUACCUAUAAGACUGGGAUAACUUCGGGAAACCGGAGCUAAUACCGGAUAAUAUUUUGAACCGCAUGGUUCAAAAGUGAAAGACGGUCUUGCUGUCACUUAUAGAUGGAUCCGCGCUGCAUUAGCUAGUUGGUAAGGUAACGGCUUACCAAGGCAACGAUGCAUAGCCGUCCUGAGAGGGUGAUCGGCCACACUGGAACUGAGACACGGGCCAGACUCCGACGGGAGGCAGCAGUAGGGAGUCUUCCGCAAUGGGCGAAAGCCUGACGGAGCAACGCCGCGUGAGUGAUGAAGGUCUUCGGAUCGGAAAACUCUGUUAUUAGGGAAGAAAAGAUGUGUAAGGAACUGUGCACAGCUUGACGGUACCUAAUCAGAAAGCCCCGGCUAACUACGUG
rnacentral:rRNA from 1 species